rnacentral:tRNA from 1 species
GCGGAUGUGACUUAAAGGUAAAGUGCUUGGUUGAAGCCCAAGUUAUGGAGGUUCGAUUCCUUCCGUUCGCACAA